CAUAAAAAUGGCUGUGGGGCCAGGUGUUCCUUCCCAGCUCUUCUCUGCUAUAGAACCGCAGCUCCAUGAUGCAAGGCCCGGGUCCGUUGCGGUCACUGCUCUACCUCCAGUGCCUAGAGUUGGCCUGGUGCACGAGAUGGGAUGAUCCUUAUUUCUCAAGACAGCCUGGGACGGGACCUGCCUACCCCACCACUGAAGCCAGUCACCACACCUGCCUGCCGUGGACCACUGAUGGAGGUGGGGUGCCCAGGUAAAGCUCUAGUCUUUCUGGCUGUGUAACCUGCACGCCCAGAGAGGAGAUGCUUCGCACAGCACUCGCACCACGCUUCUUCUCCGCCUGUGGGAAGGGGUUGCACCACGCCAUCCGCACGCUCUCAUCAGACCUCGGUUUCAACACACAGGUCUUACCUGCGUAGGCCCUUGGCUCCCCAAGCUUCUCGAGGGCAGGCACCAGAACCUGUCUUACUCGUCCUUGGGGGCUCUACAGCGCUAGGGACACAGUACGUGCUCAAUAAAAGUGUUUCCAACC
rnacentral:lncRNA from 1 species